GACAUCUAGUGAGGGCCUUCUUGCUACGUCAUCACAUAGAGGAAGGUGAGAGGGCAAGAGAGGUCAAGAGAGAGAGAAAACUGAAAUCUUUCUUUUGUAACAAGCCUACUCCUUCAACAAACCCACUUUCAUGAUAACCGCAUUAAUUCAUUCAAGCGAGCAGGGCCCUCAUGGCCUAAUAAUCCCUCAUUAGGCUUCAACUCCUAAAAGUGUUGCAUAGGGGUUAAGUUUCCAACACAUGCUUUUUGGAGAACAUAUUUAAACCAUAGCAGUUAAUACUGCUAUACUGAAAUUUUUGGCAAAAAUAUUUUGCUAGUAUUUUUUGAUCUUUAAAUGUUUGCACUUUGAGAAUUCUUUCCAUUGCUGAAUAUUUUAACCCUCUUUCUGAGCUCUAACAGGCAGAGAAUGUCCCACUAAAAAAAAAAUGUGACACUCUAACCUGACAACCCAUCUCUUUUUCUCUGAACCAAAGACCUUUGAGGUGGGAAAAUGCCAAGAAAAUGCCUAUGAAACGGAAAUGGUACAUCCAAUUGCAGGUCAAAUCUGGCCCUCAAGUUCUGAGCAAAAUUCAUGAGAAAUGAUUGUUCACAAUAGGAAUAUCCAUUGAGUGUGUUAGAACCCUCGUGUUUCUAUACCUAACCACUUUCUUUCUUUUUUCAGCCCCACCUUAUCUCCAGUAGGUGGCUGGGAAGGUUAGGUUGCCUGGGUUGAGAACAACUUCAUGGACAAAAAUUUGGAUGAUUUCUGCCCUGUGAAGUCAUCUCAUGGUAAUUGCCACAAGAUGAUACCAUUGGCAACUUGAUACAGAAAGUCAUCUUAAACCAGACUCAGAUUGGCACCAUGUGAACCCAGGACUGAUUUUUCUGUGAGGUAAGCAGGCCCUCCCUUGCUUUUCCCUUGGGCCUGAUACUGC
rnacentral:lncRNA from 13 species